rnacentral:rRNA from 1 species
AGAGUUUGAUCCCUGGCUCAGGAUGAACGCUGGCGGCGUGCUUAACACAUGCAAGUCGAACGAUGAAGCCCAGCUUGCUGGGUGGAUUAGUGGCGAACGGGUGAGUAACACGUGAGUAACCUGCCCUUGACUCUGGGAUAAGCCUGGGAAACUGGGUCUAAUACCGGAUAGGAACGUCCACCGCAUGGUGGUUGUUGGAAAGAUUUAUCGGUCAUGGAUGGACUCGCGGCCUAUCAGCUUGUUGGUGAGGUAAUGGCUCACCAAGGCGACGACGGGUAGCCGGCCUGAGAGGGUGACCGGCCACACUGGGACUGAGACACGGCCCAGACUCCUACGGGAGGCAGCAGUGGGGAAUAUUGCACAAUGGGCGAAAGCCUGAUGCAGCGACGCCGCGUGAGGGAUGACGGCCUUCGGGUUGUAAACCUCUUUCAGUAGGGAAGAAGCGAAAGUGACGGUACCUGCAGAAGAAGCACCGGCUAACUACGUGCCAGCAGCCGCGGUAAUACGUAGGGUGCGAGCGUUAUCCGGAAUUAUUGGGCGUAAAGAGCUCGUAGGCGGUUUGUCGCGUCUGUCGUGAAAGUCCGGGGCUUAACCCCGGAUCUGCGGUGGGUACGGGCAGACUAGAGUGCAGUAGGGGAGACUGGAAUUCCUGGUGUAGCGGUGGAAUGCGCAGAUAUCAGGAGGAACACCGAUGGCGAAGGCAGGUCUCUGGGCUGUAACUGACGCUGAGGAGCGAAAGCAUGGGGAGCGAACAGGAUUAGAUACCCUGUAGUCCAUGCCGUAAACGUUGGGCACUAGGUGUGGGGACCAUUCCACGGUUUCCGCGCCGCAGCUAACGCAUUAAGUGCCCCGCCUGGGGAGUACGGCCGCAAGGCUAAAACUCAAAGGAAUUGACGGGGGCCCGCACAAGCGGCGGAGCAUGCGGAUUAAUUCGAUGCAUCGCGAAGAACCUUACCAAGGCUUGACAUGUUCUCGAUCGCCGUAGAGAUACGGUUUCCCCUUUGGGGCGGGAUCACAGGUGGUGCAUGGUUGUCGUCAGCUCGUGUCGUGAGAUGUUGGGUUAUGUCCCGCAACGAGCGCAACCCUCGUUCCAUGUUGCCAGCACGUCAUGGUGGGGACUCAUGGGAGACUGCCGGGGUCAACUCGGAGGAAGGUGGGGACGACGUCAAAUCAUCAUGCCCCUUAUGUCUUGGGCUUCACGCAUGCUACAAUGGCCGGUACAAUGGGUUGCGAUACUGUGAGGUGGAGCUAAUCCCAAAAAGCCGGUCUCAGUUCGGAUUGGGGUCUGCAACUCGACCCCAUGAAGUCGGAGUCGCUAGUUAUCGUGGAUCAGAAUGCCACGGUGAAUACGUUCCCGGGCCUUGUACACACCGCCCGUCACACCAUGGGAGUGGGUUGCAAAAGAAGUAGGUAGCUUAACCUUCGGGAGGGCGCUUACCACUUUGUGAUUCAUGACUGGGGUGAAGUCGUAACAAGGUAACCGUA